rnacentral:rRNA from 1 species
UGGGGAAUUUUGGACAAUGGGCGAAAGCCUGAUCCAGCAAUGCCGCGUGUGUGAAGAAGGCCUUCGGGUUGUAAAGCACUUUUGUCCGGAAAGAAAUCCUUGGCUCUAAUACAGUCGGGGGAUGACGGUACCGGAAGAAUAAGCACCGGCUAACUACGUGCCAGCAGCCGCGGUAAUACGUAGGGUGCAAGCGUUAAUCGGAAUUACUGGGCGUAAAGCGUGCGCAGGCGGUUUGCUAAGACCGAUGUGAAAUCCCCGGGCUUAACCUGGGAACUGCAUUCGUGACUGCAAGGCUAGAGUAUGGCAGAGGGGGGUAGAAUUCCACGUGUAGCAGUGAAAUGCGUAGAGAUGUGGAGGAAUACCGAUGGCGAAGGCAGCCCCCUGGGCCAAUACUGACGCUCAUGCACGAAAGCGUGGGGAGCAAACAGGAUUAGAUACCCUGGUAGUCCACGCCCUAAACGAUGUCAACUAGUUGUUGGGGAUUCAUUUCCUUAGUAACGUAGCUAACGCGUGAAGUUGACCGCCUGGGGAGUACAGUCGCAAGAUUAAAACUUAAAUGAAUUGACGGGGU